ensembl:lncRNA
CUUUCACUAUCAGCUCUUAAAGAAAGCAUAUGAGGAAUCAAACUCAGUUGUUCAUCGUAUGAACAAGAUUUCUAAGCAGGAGAACUGACAGCCGAAUGCACACAGUGCCCUUCUUGUCUUGGCAGAAAUGUUGUCAACAACGUGAUGCAGUGGAUCUGUAUACCCUUAGAGAGGAUUCCUCUGCCCAAAUAAGAACAACUGAAAGCCAGGCAUGACUGCUCUGGGUUCCCUUUGCAGCCCUGAUUUAUUGCAUCCUAAGCACUAUUGAUAUAGGCUUCAAAUGGUCAGACCAUGAUCAGAAGAGGCAGUAAGAGAUAUUUUCCUUCCUUUUAGAUCCUUCAGACCUACCAUCAAGUCGCCAGCCCCAAAACACUCUCUGUGGAAACAAAACAGCUAUAAUGUGAAGAAAAAGAAUGAGUUUCAGGCUUCCAUCCCUCACCAUCGGGCUGCUGUGAUUCACAAGAGCCCACAGUGUUGCCUACAAUAUGAUAGGGGGUUUGGGUUUUGAUUUGGCUUGGUUUUGUUUUCCACUGCAUUAAAACAGCAGUAAUAACAGUGUCAUGGGACCAGCACCAAACAGAAGAAAUCCUGGCAAGUGAAGCUGUGCUCAUGUACGGCUCAAAAGCAACAAGGAAAGGAACUGUCCAGAGACUAAAGCAUUUUCAUGUUAAGACUUAUGAUUUAAUACUUGUUUAAGUUAAACAUUAAUAUGGGUAAAGUAACUUUCAAAACAGAGCCAGGGCAGAGUUGAUCCAAAAGUCAACAGAACAAAAGAGUCUGGAGCAAAACUCUGAGCCAAACCACUGAAGCUGAUAAUGUCUGGCAAGAACAUUCACCUCGGAGAAGAGCUUGAGGACAGCAAAACUCAGUACGAGACAGAAAUCAGACCUCGCCCCUUGCUGCCUGUCUCUGCCUUUAUUCUGACCAGAUGUGAAAGACUCAUGGUCUUGGAGGCCUGGGAUAUAAGCAGGCUGCAGGGUCAAUGAUUGCUUCUGCACUAAUGGAUUCAGCCUCCAGCCUGAGGUGCAGCUGACACAAGGACAGAAACCUUCAAGUGACUCUUUUUGGCCCAAACUGUAUUUACAGAGUUGAUCUUCAGCUUGCCAGCUAUUCGUUGUACUUCAGCAAAUUGGAGAUGCUUCCUGUCAUCCAUCAGUGUACCCAUGUUCCAUUAUUCUGGGCUAACAGCCUGUAAAAUGAAACAGCAAACAGAGCUUCAUUAAAACAAAGUAAGACACAUCCUCAGCUGGCAGGUUUGGGAGAUGAGGAAUCAAGCCCCAGCGGUUGCUCUUCCAGCUUCAUCUCUGAGGAUCUACAUGAGAAACAGGAUAAAAGUCCUCUCAGCUCUACGAACCUCAGUUUAUACAUUCAUCAAGUGGGGGCACUACUACUCAAGAGUCCUCAUAAGAACAUUAUGGAAAUGAAUUGCAGUUUAUACAGCAGUCUGUGACCUUGGGUUCUUCUCUGCAGAGCUGCUUUCCAGGACUCAGCACUUCUUGUUGAACUCAGGGAGGUUCCUGUCAGCCCUACUCUCCAGCCUGUCAAGAUGGCUCUGGAUAGCACCACUCUCUGGAAAUGGACUCGGACUUCGUGUGCUUGUUCCAUGGCUUACUCAGAUAGUCAUGCAGGAGCUGGGAAACAGUAGGAAGGAGCAAGGCAUGGAGCAAAGUAGAGGAGAAAAUGUGAAGAGAAAUUAAUAGGACUGAGAAGGACUCACCCACCCCUGCCCUUCUGUCCUCUGCAGUACCAACUGCAUGGAGCCUACCUUGUUCAUGCUUCUAACAUCAGCUAUUGGAUUAUCUUAUCCCCAGAUGGUUUCUGAUAGCAUUAAACAUUUGCCUGCAACAGCCUGAUGCUCCUUUCCAGGAGCACUCAGCUCAGCAGACCUUCUAGCUAGAUCAGCUCCUCAAAAUAAGGCACAGGGUGCACCUGCCACUGAUUGCACCAUUGAUGUGGCAACAAGAAUCUGCCUGCAUCUCUCUAACCAUCAUACAUUUGUCUAACCAGGCUGGGAUAUCGGUAACAAACUAGAUGUCACUAAUCAUGUAGGAUAUCAGAGCAUGAUGUCCAGGUUGGUUUAACUUCAUGAAUUCUGGGACUCGGAAGAUGAUUGAGACCUCAAAAGCCCAUUUUUGGCUCUUCCACUGGGUCUGUUGGCUUGUCUGUAGUCCUUGGAACAGGACAGCAUUCACUUCUGAGUUGGUCCCUUAUUGAUCAUUCUCAUAAUACACAGAGCACCCACAGGCUUAGUCCCACUAUCCCACCAUGCAGAGUUGGGUUGGGUAAUCUUCCCUGCCACAGCCAAAGCAUCUCAGUAGCUUUUGUACUUGAGCAGGAGCAGGAUGAACAAGAAGAAUGAACACUGAGACUUUUACCCUCAUUUCUUUGUCCCAUAAAGGUAAGUCUUUCUCCUGGAGUUUGGUCAUGUUGUGUUGUGAACUUUUUCCACUGGAGGCAUUCACCACCCCCUAGCUCUGUCCCCACUGACUCCACAGAACCCCAGCCCACAAUGGGAAAGAGUUACGUGAGCUUUUGGAAUUAAAGUUAGUUGCCUAAAUUACACAGACUGAGCCCCACCCAGACUCUCGAUAGUCAGAAGAUGGACAGCCAGUUCUGCCAGGGUAUGAAAAAUAAGAAAGCCAUCCUUAAGUGGUGCAUGGAAACAGUGAUGGAUUCAAACGAUUAGCAAAACUAAUGAACAGAAAUCUGUCAUAUUGCUGGGCAAAAUGUCACCACGGUAUGUGACUACGAAUGACUCAAUUGCUCUUUAAAGGAAUGCUUGCGUCUCUCAUGAUGCUGGGAAUCCUAAUUGACUAAUACUUUCAAAGCACUUGGAGCUGCUCAGAUGAAAGACUUCCCCGAAUGCAAAGUAUUACUACAUGUGAGGUUCAUGUCUGGAGCAAGUUUUUAAAACAAACCAUAUGAAAAGCAGAAUUAAGAGUGGAAAUGCUGAUCCAGCCAUUAUUUACUUCCCAUCGGAGAGUGGGCAGAGGGUCUCCUUUUAUGUUGUUUAUUUCAAACAAACAACUCUGGGAAUCUCCCGUGGAAAAGAAAUGCAAAAACCCAUGCCCUUUCAUGGGUAUUUUUGGUUUAUCUCCGCAUGAAUCUGAAAUUCAUCAUGUGGAGAGAAUGUGGAGAAACAUUUUUUUCCCCUGUAUACACACUCACUUUCCCACAAUGAAUAAAACCUGUUUUCUUGCAGUGUUUGUCCACUUCUUCACCCAAGGGUAACAAAAUGACCCGGAAAGCAGGAACACCCUGUCCAUGAACCCUGCUGGAAAAUAAAUAAAUAUAAAUCCAUACAUUCAUAAAUAAAGACACAGAAAAAGAGGGAUGACUCGGAAGGUUCCCAGGAAAACCAGCUGUGUCUAAUGCCGCCACCAUGGACACACGAGCCCCAGAGCUCCUAAUUCCUCAGCUAUUGCUCAGCAGUGAGUCAGAAGCUGUCACUGAGUGACUCACAGCAACUCCAGAAUGCAGCUGAGCUUGUGUCACCGGGCAGGCAGGCUUCGGGGAGUCUGAGUGGGGCAGGGGGGCAGUGUCCCUGCUGUUACUCUGCGCUCCAGUGACAGCUGCUGGUAUGCAGGCUGCCGUGGCAGAGGUGAUGGCACAUUCAGUUCUCCAAAGGCACUUUGCUUACGAUGCCGUCAUCUUUUCCACCCUCCUUCCAGCGCACACGCGUACACCUCACUCUACCUGAUUUAACUCUUCAGCUACGAAGAUUUCCCUGCUUGAGAUACGGCACCUAAGGAGGAGUUGGCUGUUGGAUGAGGCCCUUCUCUGGCUGUGUGGAAGUACUGAUCUAAAUCUGCACUGAAGGAGGCAGACAGCUACCACAAGAGGACACAAAGCCUUGAUGCUGACAGAGGUUGCAUGUGGUUUUGCUGCAGGCCAGCAGUCAGCCCCAGCGAUACCAUCCAGCCCUGCCCUGCUGCCGACCUUUCCUGCCACUUCUCACUUUUCAUUUGUUUGCUUUCUUUAUCAGCCCUGGCCCUUGUCAAUACAAAGCACAGAACUGGGUGUGUGGGAGUUAGGGAGGAGGCUGCAGCCCUCUGUGAACUGUUAUUUUCGGACAGAGAUUGGCUGCAGUCAUUUAUCCCUUGCCAAAGAGUUUAAAAACGGCACGCUUGCUGAUCCAGGUGAUUUUACGAGGAGGUGGUGCCUGCCAUUUCCCAUCACAGCUACUGAUUGCUAAUCAUACAGCUGAUAUUAUACUGCGGACAGCUGAGUUAAAGGGAAUUCCCGUAAGAGCCUCAUGCCAUACAGAUAACAGUUUCUUUAAGAGCCUGAAAAUUCUCAGACAGGUGAAUUUUUCCGCUCCAGGUUGGAUGGGGCCAUGGGCAGCCUGAUCUAGUGGGUGGCAACCCUGCCCACGGCAGUGGAGUUGGAACUAGAUGGUCUUUAAGGACCCUUCAACCCAAGCCAAUCUAUGAUUCCCUGAUUCUGUGAUUCCUCUUACUACAGUUCAUGUUAGUGGCUUGGCUGUUAGGAAGAUAAUCCUUGGGAUUAGGGUGAGGACAGAGUCAUACAUAAAUAUAGCAAAUGGAAAACGCUCCACUUGUCAUUCAUAAAGCUCUCCUUCUAGGAACGGAGGGGAUGGCUGCCGGUCACAGAGAGCAGGGCAAACAUGUCUCCUCUGUGCAGUUUGGUGUUUUUUUCUGAUUUUGUAGUAGUCAGAAACAGCAAUUUUUUUGAAGUCGCCUUUUCACACAUCUAAGUGAAACCUUAAAAAUCAGUUUGGCUAAGAAGGUAAUGAGUAUGAAGUAUAAAUUAUCAUCCUUCAUUAGAAGCUUUUCACCCUGCUUUAUCCCUUCAUCGUAUAGACUCAUGUUGCCAUAGAAGAAGCAGCAAUGUCAGAACAUGACUUAAAAUAAUUCCACUGAUCAAGUGUUAAUUGCACUCUUGUACAAUCAAAGCAGUCUGCUCAGGAACACGUUAAGCUUACCUUUGUGACAGCAAAUCAUUGCCAAACCCUCCUUUGGCCAAACUCUUCUGCAAACACUGUUAUAACAGUAAACAUUUUAUUGGCUCAGAGCUGGAAGGGACCAUUAAAACUCUGGUUACCAUAAAUUGUGACAUUUGUUGCACAGCAGCUGUACAUGUACAUGUUCCCAUUGCCACGGCAGAUGCAAGAGUGAAGUGGGUUAACCCAACUGUCUGCUCGCCUCAAGGUAACUCAGAAUGCUGCAGCGUAUUUUCACUUGUAAUUAAGCUGCCUCAAACUGCCCUCAGAGCAGCAGUGAUCGGGGAUGCGCAUGGAUGCUUCAGGUGGCACAAUCAUUUUACCCCUCAGUAACCUGUGUAAUGGCUUUUGUUCAUGGUCUGUGUCUUUGAUCGCCUUCUUGACUUCUUUAAUAUCACAAGGCAUUAUCAGGAUAUUUCAUCAUUUUGCGGGUUGCAAAGUCUCACUCAGCACCAUUUUUAUUAAUCCGUAGUGUUAAUGGAGUCUUUCAAUGGCAAAGAGUUUUCCAGCAAAAAUAAGGGAUCAGGACGGGCUUGUGGCCCAUUACUAGAUGCAAGGUCAAUUGUGCUCCUUCAAACGACAAUCUGACUUCUAAGGAAAAAGAUUAUGCCCAUACUUUCACCGUGUUAGAUGUAAAAAUGUACUCUUGCACUGUACUGAGAACUAUUUUUGCAUUAAAAAUGACUAAAAUGUGUAGCUGCAUCACAGCAGCAUUCUAGUCCUAUUGGAGCUAAUUGUGAAACCUGUAAUGCCUUCUAGCAGAGGAAGAUCAAAACGUAUGCAUAUAAACAAUACAGUGUUUAAAUAAAUCCAAGUUAUAAGCAUAUGUUUCACUAUAAAUUGAUUCUGUUGAUCUUAGAAAUCAAGAUGUCAAAUAAUGUGUUUUCCUCUCUGUACUGUCCAUUACUCUUCAGGUAUUUAGACACUGAGGGUCAUGCACAUGCAUUACAGGGUUAAUGCCAUGCUCAGGCCAUUAAUAGUAAGAUGGCAAGAAAACAGAAGAAAAAAAACCCACCAUUUAUGUGAGACAAGACAGGAGAAUUUAUUGACUGAAGUGUCUUUAUCUUCAUGUUCAUUUUUCAUUUUAAGAGGUGUAAGUAUAAACCAUCGUCAUUAUCAUUUAGAACCAAUCAAAGCCAGGAAUGACAUCCAAAGGUCUGAUUAAGGCUCUACUUGCAUGAUGCAGAUGGGUUUUGUCUUGAUGACAGAUAAAUCCCUCACUACUGAAGAAUAACAUCAUCAGAGCAGAAGUCAGGGAAAUAAACUGUGACAAAGAGAGCCAGUGAUAGAUGGCCAAGUGAGCAAGGGACUGACAGCAAGGACAUAUGGAUCCAGUUCUCAGCUCCAUCACUGUCUGAGUAUGUGACCAUGAACAAGAAGCCUGUGCAUAUUCCUUCAUCUGGAAUGUCCAUCAGACAAUAUGGACUUAGCACAAGAGCACGUUAGUAUUCCAGAAAAAGAUUUUGAAAUUUACCUCAUGGGACAGGCUGCAGUACUGAAGAUUUUUAAAGCCAUACAGGAAUUGGUGGUCUUGGGAUCAUCUGUGGCUAUUGGUCAGUUACCUGAUGUCUUGUAUUUGUUAGAGGUGAACAGAAGGAUUCUGUGACACUGCAUCCAGAGUUGACAUGUGAAUCCUUGUGGACUGACGAUCAAGUAUACAAUUUCUUGUAGCUGGGAAAGGUUGGCAUGAUGCCUCAUCCUGGAAGCAUUCAAGGGUUGAUGGGGCUGUGAGACAACCUGGUCCAAAGGGAGGUGUCCCUGUCUAUAGCAGGGGUUUGGAAGUAGAUGAUCUUAAAGGUUCCUUCCAACCCAAACCAUUCUAUGAUUCUAUGAUCUUUGUAGAGCCUUCAAACCCCACUGACCCAGUUUGCCUCCCUGUGUAUGCUGAAUAUAUUGAACCCAUACAUUCCUAGAAUCAUAGAACUUAUUGGGUUGAAAGGGACCUUAAAGCCCACCCAGUUCCAUGGGCUGGUUGCCCCCCACCAGCUCAGGCUGCCCAGGGUCCAUCCAACCUGGCCUUGAGCACCUCCAGGGAUGGGGCACCACAGCUCUCUGGGCAGCAGUGCCAGGGCCUCACCACUGAGUAAAGAAUCUCUUCCUAACAUCUAAAUCUCCCUUCUUUUGGUUUAAAGCCAUUCCCCCUUGGCCUCUCACUAUCAGACCAUGUAAAAAAGUUGGUCCCUCUCCUGCUAAUAAGCUCCUUUAAAUACAGGAAGGCUACAAUGAGAUCUUUCCGGAGCCUUCUCUUCUCCAAGCUGAGCAAGCCCAGAACUUCUGCCUUGAAUAAAUGUUUAUCUAGAAUGCAUGUACUUUACCAUAUAAGCAUUACACUACAGAUACUCUAUCUAUAUAUGCAUCUUUAUGUAUGUUUUAUUCAGCAACAUGAAAAAGAAUACUACAGCAGAUGAAGAUGUUGUUGCCUUAUGUAUGAGGAGCCCACCGUAACUAUCUGUGGUCCAUUGGGCUCCAGAAUCUUCUACUACACUUAGUUUUUCUUGCCACUGUUUGUAGUAGGGAAAGGUCUUGAUCAAAUUCAUGGCCCCUGUUGUGGAAAGUCUUCCUGUGCCACAAUGAAUUUAAAUGAAAGUCUGCAUGAAUAGCUAGUAUACAGUCACUGCAAAAUAGAACAAACCAGCUGCACAAUGCCAAGAAUUGUCAGGGCAUGUGGUUUGGAAAACACUACAAUGUAAGUUUAUAGCUGCAGCUCAAUUCAUUUCCUGAGAGGAAAGAUAAUGCUGUAGAAGAAUAGACACUAUACGGUCCCUCUUUAUGUGGCAUUCAUCCGUUAGAAAGUUUAUUUCAUUGGCAUUCUUGUAGAUGUCAAACUGCUAAACGCAAGGCUGCAGCACAAAGAAAUUUCUUAAAUUACUGGGGGAAUAAAUUAGCUCUUAUAACAUGCUUUGAAAUUUCAAUUGCGUUCUGUAGCAAAAAGCAAGUCCCCGAGUGUGUAUAGAAUCCCAUUCCACGGACCAUUGUUUCCUUCCUGCUGCU